GCUCUCUGCAAGCACUUCUUUGGCUUCUCUCUUCUCACUCUUGUUCUUAUCGUACCAGGCAGACAGCUCUUUGAGAAACUUGGCAGAUGCAUGUUCUAUGUAUCAAAAGAUUAACACCCAGUUCAUUGCAAAUUCAGUAUCAACAAUAUCAGAAAAGCUUCACGGUCUGUCAGUUUCCCAGUUUCAAAAUAAAUUAUUUCAGCAAUUUUGAGGUUAGUUUGCCCAUUUCAGGAUUUCCAGGGUGACUCAUAUUUUGAUUUUACAGGUCCUCUUUGUUGUCAACUUUGCGGUUUAUAGAUUUUACAGCUUCUAGAGGUUACAGGUUGCGGCUAAGACAGACCCACACAGAGAAGGGUGAUUGCUCGAGCACCCAUUGACUUGAAAUUCUAGGUCCGACUCUUGAAUCUUUUUGUGCUGAUUUUUUCUUCCACUGGAAACAUGAGAGGUAAUGAUGGAACUACCGAAAGAGGUUGUGACAGUAGUUGCCAAAGGAGUUGAUGAAGGUGAGACUUGCUGCUCACCACGUGUUGACCCGCCAUCGAUGGUCAUUUUGCUAACUCAAAAGUUAUUUUGGAUAAUAACAUUGUUUUUAUUUGCCUGUUAAUAUUGAAUUGAGCAAGGGAGACAUGGAGUAGUCCAACCGCUUCAAACAACUGCUAGAAUGUACCAAAACAUAUCAUUUUGUACAUCUCUCUAGAGUUUUCAAGGCAUCUGAUGAUAACUUAUGAUAAGGUGGGGGAAUUAUACUGCUAAAAUAUUACAAACCAGCAGAUGCAACCAAUUAUACACCUAUUUCAUGUUCGGAUAUGCAGUUACAUGUGGAGAUGACAUAAUAGUUACUGGCUUGAAUAUAAUAUAUUGGAUAGACAUAAACAAAAGUACAAGGAAGGACUUCUUCAGUUGCGGAUCGGCAUGAAAGAGAAGCAGCUCACCGUAGAAGUCCCAAGCGUGCUCACUGAUGCACACCAGAAUGAU